rnacentral:rRNA from 1 species
CCUACGGGUGGCUGCAGUGGGGGAUAUUGGACAAUGGGCGAAAGCCUGAUCCAGCCAUGCCGCGUGUGUGAAGAAGGCCUUCGGGUUGUAAAGCACUUUCAGUGGGGAAGAAAGCCUUGGGGCUAAUACCCUCGAGGAAGGACAUCACCCACAGAAGAAGCACCGGCUAACUCCGUGCCAGCAGCCGCGGCAAUACGGAGGGUGCGAGCGUUAAUCGGAAUUACUGGGCGUAAAGCGCGCGUAGGCGGUCUGAUAAGCCGGUUGUGAAAGCCCCGGGCUCAACCUGGGAACGGCAUCCGGAACUGUCAGGCUAGAGUGCAGGAGAGGAAGGUAGAAAUCCCGGUGUAGCGGUGAAAUGCGUAGAGAUCGGGAGGAAUACCAGUGGCGAAGGCGGCCUUCUGGACUGACACUGACGCUGAGGUGCGAAAGCGUGGGUAGCAAACAGGAUUAGAUACCCUUGUAGUC